rnacentral:rRNA from 1 species
AUUGAACGCUGGCGGAAUGCUUUACACAUGCAAGUCGAACGGCAGCACGGGGGCAACCCUGGUGGCGAGUGGCGAACGGGUGAGUAAUACAUCGGAACGUGCCCAGUCGUGGGGGAUAACGUAGCGAAAGCUACGCUAAUACCGCAUACGAUCUCUGGAUGAAAGCGGGGGACCGCAAGGCCUCGCGCGAUUGGAGCGGCCGAUGGCAGAUUAGGUAGUUGGUGGGGUAAAGGCUCACCAAGCCGACGAUCUGUAGCUGGUCUGAGAGGACGACCAGCCACACUGGGACUGAGACACGGCCCAGACUCCUACGGGAGGCAGCAGUGGGGAAUUUUGGACAAUGGGCGAAAGCCUGAUCCAGCCAUUCCGCGUGCAGGAUGAAGGCCCUCGGGUUGUAAACUGCUUUUGUACGGAACGAAACGGUCCGUGGUUAAUACCUGGGGCUAAUGACGGUACCGUAAGAAUAAGCACCGGCUAACUACGUGCCAG